rnacentral:rRNA from 1 species
UACGUAGGUGGCAAGCGUUGUCCGGAUUUAUUGGGUUUAAAGGGUGCGUAGGCGGUUUUCUAAGUCAGCAGUGAAAUACGGCAGCUCAACUGUCGAGGUGCUGUUGAUACUGGGGAACUUGAGUACUGAUGAGGUAGGCGGAAUGGACGGUGUAGCGGUGAAAUGCUUAGAGAUUGUCCAGAACACCGAUAGCGAAGGCAGCUUACUAAGGAGUAACUGACGCUGAGGCACGAAAGUGUGGGGAUCAAACAGG